rnacentral:miRNA from 1 species
UGCUGCCUCAAGCUUGCUGCC